UGCGGAGGCCUAAGACGAUGCAUGUCGAGCGGAUGAGGGGAGCUUGCUCCCGGAUUCAGCGGCGGACGGGUGAGUAAUGCCUUAAGGAAUCUGCCUGGUAGUGGGGGACAACGUUCCGAUAUAGGAGCGCUAAAUACCGCAUACGUCCUACGGGAGAAAGUGGGGGAUCUUACGGACCUCACGCUAUCAGAUAGAGCCUAGGUCGGAUUAGCUAGUUGGUGCGCGCGUAAUGGCUCACGCUAGGCGACGAUCCGUAUACUGGUCUGAGAGGAUGAUCAGGUCACACUGCGACCUGAGACACGCCGUCCAGACUCCUACGGGAGGCAGCAGUGGGGAAUAUUGGAUCAAUGGGCGAAAGCUGAUCCAAGCCAUGCCGCGUGUGUGAAGAAGGUCUUCGGAUUGUAAAGCACUUUAAGUUGGCGAGGAUAGGGCAAUGUAAGUUAUACCUUGCUGCUUGGCGUUACAACAAGAAUAAGACCGGUUACUUCGUGCACAGCGGCGCGGG
rnacentral:rRNA from 1 species